AUACGGAGGAUGCGAGCGUUAUCCGGAUUUAUUGGGUUUAAAGGGAGCGUAGGCGGGAGCUUAAGUCAGCGGUUAAAUGGUGCGGCUCAACCGUGCCCUGCCGUUGAAACUGGGUUUCUUGAGAGUGCAAGAGGCGGAUGGGAUUCAUGGUGUAGCGGUGAAAUGCUUAGAUAUCACGAAGAACUCCGAUCGCGAAGGCAGCCUUCCGGCCCGUCAACGACGCUCAUGCUCGAAGGUGCGGGUAUCAAACAGGAUUAGAUACCCUGGUAGUCCGCACAGUAAACGAUGGACACCCGCGGUUUGGCCUGUAUGGCUGAGCCGCCAAGCGAAAGCGUUAAGUGUCCCACCUGGGGAGUACGCCGGCAACGGUGAAACUUAAAGGAAUUGACGGGG
rnacentral:rRNA from 1 species